UACGGAGGGAGCUAGCGUUGUUCGGAAUUACUGGGCGUAAAGCGCACGUAGGCGGUUUUUCAAGUCAGAGGUGAAAGCCCGGGGCUCAACCCCGGAAUAGCCUUUGAAACCGGACGACUAGAAUCACGGAGAGGUGGGUGGAAUUCCGAGUGUAGAGGUGAAAUUCGUAGAUAUUCGGAAGAACACCAGUGGCGAAGGCGGCCCACUGGACGUGUAUUGACGCUGAGGUGCGAAAGCGUGGGGAGCAAACAGG
rnacentral:rRNA from 1 species